AGUGAACGCUGGCGGUAGGCCUAACACAUGCAAGUCGAACGGCAGCACAGUAAGAGCUUGCUCUUACGGGUGGCGAGUGGCGGACGGGUGAGGAAUACAUCGGAAUCUACUUUUUCGUGGGGGAUAACGUAGGGAAACUUACGCUAAUACCGCAUACGACCUACGGGGGAAAGCAGGGGAUCUUCGGACCUUGCGCGAAUGAAUGAGCCGAUGUCGGAUUAGCUAGUUGGCGGGGUAAAGGCCCACCAAGGCGACGAUCCGUAGCCGGUCUGAGAGGAUGGUCAGCCACACUGGAGCUGGGCCACGUUCCAGACUCCUACGGGAGGCAGCAGUGGGGAAUAUUGGACAAUGGGCGCAAGCCUGAUCCAGCCAUACCGCGUGGGUGACGAAGGCCUUCGGGUUGUAAAGCCCUUUUGUUGGGAAAGAAAAGCAGCAGGUUAAUACCCCGCUGUUCUGACGGUACCCAAAGAAUAAGCACCGGCUAACUUCGUG
rnacentral:rRNA from 1 species